GGCCGUCUAGCUCAGUUGGUUAGAGCGUCGUGCUAAUACAGAUUACGUAAUUUGUGACGCGAAGGUCUUGGGUUCGACCCCCACGAUGGCCA